rnacentral:misc_RNA from 1 species
AACGCAUAUUGCGCUCUUUGGUAUUCCGAAGAGCAUGCUUGUUUGGGUAUCAGUGAACACCUCAAAGACUUCAGUUUGUUUUGAAUGGCUUUGGACUUGAGCAAUCCCAACACCAGUCUUUACGAUCGGUGGAGGGUUGCUUGAAAUGCAGGUGCAGCUGGACAUUCUCCUGAGCUAAAAGCAUAUUUAUUUAGUCCCGUCAAACGGAUUAUUACUUUUGCUGCAGCUAACAUAAAGGGAGUUUGACCGUAUUGGCUGACUGAUGCAGGAUUUCACAAGGGUCAGCAACGAUUCUUGUAAAACUCGAUCUCAAAUCAAGUAAGACUACCCGCUGAACUUAA